rnacentral:rRNA from 1 species
UGAGGAAUAUUGCGCAAUGGGGGCAACCCUGACGCAGCAACGCCGCGUGGAUGAUGAAGGCCUUCGGGUUGUAAAAUCCUUUUCUGAGGGACGAUGGUGACGGUACCUCAAGAAUAAGUCCCGGCUAACUACGUGCCAGCAGCCGCGGUAAAACGUAGGGGGCAAGCGUUAUCCGGAUUUACUGGGCGUAAAGCGCACGUAGGCGGCAUUGUAAGUUGGGCGUGAAAGCUCUCGGCUUAACUGAGAGAGGUCGUUCAAUACUGCAGUGCUUGAGGUUGACAGAGGAGAGCGGAAUUCCCGGUGUAGUGGUGGAAUGCGUAGAUAUCGGGAGGAACACCAGUGGCGAAAGCGGCUCUCUGGGUCACACCUGACGUUGAGGUGCGAAAGCGUGGGGAGCGAACGGG